rnacentral:ncRNA from 1 species
UUUAUUUACAUUAUUCUUCGAUCGCUUGCUUCUGCAACAAUUCAAGAAACAUCUACAUGAUAAAUUCAAAUAACACAGCCCAUCAAACUAUGGGAUUUGAUCAUGCCUGAAGUCAUUAUCUUAACCACGAGGAUGAUGCCAAAGGUGGGGUUAGUGACUAGAUGAAUCAUAGCAAGGUAGCUAUACUAGAAGGCAUGGCUAGCUCACCUCCAUU